rnacentral:rRNA from 1 species
AUUGAACGCUGGCGGCAGGCCUAACACAUGCAAGUCGAACGAGUGGCGGACGGGUGAGUAAUGUCUGGGAAACUGCCUGAUGGAGGGGGAUAACUACUGGAAACGGUAGCUAAUACCGCAUACCAUCGGAUGUGCCCAGAUGGGAUUAGCUAGUAGGUGGGGUAAAGGCUCACCUAGGCGACGAUCCCUAGCUGGUCUGAGAGGAUGACCAGGCACACUGGAACUGAAACACGGUCCAGACUCCUACGGGAGGCAGCAGUGGGGAAUAUUGCACAAUGGGCGCAAGCCUGAUGCAGCCAUGCCGCGUGUAAGAAGAAGGCCUUCGGGUUGUAAAGUACUUUCAGCGGGGAGGCGUUACCCGCAGAAGGAGCACCGGCUAACUCCGUGCCAGCAGCCGCGGUAAUAC